rnacentral:rRNA from 2 species
CACGUAGGGGCCGAGCGUUGUCCGGAUUCAUUGGGCGUAAAGAGCUCGUAGGCGGUUUCGUAAGUCGGGUGUGAAAUCUCCAGGCUCAACUUGGAGGGGCCACCCGAUACUGCGCGACUCGAGUCCGGUAGGGGAGUGGGGAAUUCCUGGUGUAGCGGUGAAAUGCGCAGAUAUCAGGAGGAACACCGGUGGCGAAGGCGCCACUCUGGGCCGGUACUGACGCUGAGGAGCGAAAGCGUGGGGAGCAAACAGG